rnacentral:tRNA from 1 species
GAGGAUUUAGGCCAAGAGACUUAAAAUCUCUCGACCGCUAGGUCGUGCCGGUUCGAGUCCGGCUACCCGCACCA